rnacentral:lncRNA from 1 species
AUGUAUACAGUUAAAUAAUAUUAAGACUAGUUUAAAGGGAAAAUUAUUACAAAUUAAAGACUGUCAAAAGUAUCAGCUAAGAAAUAAAAACAUGUUGAGAAAUGCAUUGGUGCGAACAAAAAAAUGUCAGGACUCUCCAUUACAUAGUACAAUAAGUGUCUUCAAUAAAAUUCCAGAAACUAUUGUGAAUCUAAAAAGCUACAAAAAUAUGUGUAAAAGACUAAAACAAUACCUUAAGGUAAACUAAAUAAAUAUAUUAAAUAUGUAAGGCUGUAAGCCAUAAUCUCUAUAUUAAUCAAGCAAUAUUGUACUAAACUUAUUUAGAAUUAUGUUCCUAAUUUUGUUGUAUUUUUUUCUUUUUUUUUUGUUAAGUUUUAGGCCCUGGUGCCAGUUUGUAAACUGUUUUUGGGUCAUAAAUAAAGUUAUUAAAAAAAAAGACCCGAAACAAGUUUAAGAAUUGGGAAGAACACAUAUUUUACAAUUGCAACAGGAGCGAUAUCAGAGGAUUUAAUAGCGCGUGCAAAGUGAGAAGUCUGGGGGAAGCAUUCGCAUUCAAGGAACAUGUCAACAAAACCAAACUCAAAUAGCUAUCAGCAUAAAAUUGUAAUAGAAGCCCAUAACAAAGCCGAAAAAAUGAAUGGUAAGGUAGAAUUUUUAGAAUUUGGAAAAUUUAAAGUCAAAGUGUUUCGGUAAGUGGUAAGUUCUAUGUUGUGUCUUGUCAUGAACUAUGUGAUGAGCAAUGUCGCACUGGAUACUGUAACAUCUGUAAAAUAUGUUUUCAUAAAUACAGAUGUGAGUGUCCAGAAAAUUCUGUUAAAACAGUACUUUGUAAACAUAUACAUGCUGUAGGCUGUAGCCAUUUUUGAGCAGAGGAGCGAGUUUGUUGUAGGUUCCCCAACUGUGAGUGAAGAGGAAGAGGAUAAAGUUUUUUUUGUUGAUCAACCCACAACUAGCCAAAUCAAUUAUCAGGAGGAUGUAAACCAUUUUAUUCAGGAGAGUUCAAAAAUGAAAGUCAAUAGUUCUGCAAUGGACUUUGAAGAAAAUCGAGAAAUUGCAUUGCAAGAAAUUUGUAGCUAUGGUAGAAGUUUGAAUAAAUAUGCAUUUGCCAGAUUUAUGGCUGUAAUCAACAAAUUUAAAAAUAAAGAAGUGGACGAAGAAAAUUCUCAGGGCAUUGAAAAGAAAAGAAAAAUUGAAAAACAAAUGUACUAUCAAAAUAAAAAAUAAGCUAGAUUUCUUUGUGUAUUUAAUGGCUAGAUAAUAUUUGAAUUGUAGCUAUUUUUUUAUGUUUGUAUAGCUGUGAAGUUAACAAAAAUAGGAUGUGGUAUUUUAUAUGCUAUUUUGUGUUAUAAUCAGUAUAAUAUAACUAAGUAUAUUUUUUGUAAGGUUUUGGCGCAGGUUUCAAAUUGUAAAUACAAAUUUUAUGUAAGAGGUCAUAUACAUAACUAGGUAUAGUUUUUGUAAGGCUUACCGCUUAAUUUGGUGUAGGUUUCAAAUUGUAAAAACAAAUUUUAAGACGUCAUAAUGGUUUAAAUAACGGUGUUGGUUUCUGUAUAACUAUUUUUAUAUCUUUUAUUUUAAGACUAAAAUGUUAGCUUAUUUUGUAUGUUAAUAUUCAACUAAUCAUUUUCUACAUUUUGUUUGCUAUGUUUUUAAUAUUUGUUAGGGUGCAGAAAAGCUAAUUGGAUUAACUUGAAAUUGACACGGAACGAGGGGGAACAUCCUUUGUGAGUAUAUAUUUAUUAAUUAAAAUGUAUACAGAGCAGUAAUUUAUUUUCAUGUUACUAUUGAAUGGAAGUUUGAAUGGUUUGGGCUGUAUAUACAUGAGCAGCAGAGAUGACAAAUAAGCUAAAGAAGUGCGAGUCUACAUACUAUAUACCAGAUUAAUACAUUUAGCCUCUUUGCAUUUAAUUUUGAGGUUGUUGAUAUUAAAAAUACCAUAAAUUAUUAUAUUUAAAUAACAAAUAAAUUUAUAGAUUUUUUAUUAUUUUAAAUAAACAAAGUUAAAAUAUAA